UCUUCUUCCAUUCCAUCAGUUGCCUUUUAGUUUUGCCGAUUGUUUCCUUCACUGUGCGGAAGCUUUUUAUUUUGAUGAGGUCCAGAUAGUUCAUUUUUGAAAAGAGAAAACCUUUCGUUUGCCCAGAUGGAGGCUAACAAAUGGAGGACUCUAUUGUAAAAAGUGACACUCUGGGCUUAGAGCAGCAGCCACAGACUCACAGGCCUUAAAAAGCCAAAGAGAAAAAAGAGUGAUAGAUGAUGGGAUCAGUGGUAAACAGGAGAUGGUUGACAGGCAAGAAUCUAGGUCUCGUGGUAUCAGGUUUGAUUUUUUCAAAUGAACCCUGAAAUCUUGAUAUUUUUUUUUACAUGAAAUGUUCUGAUUUUUAAAAAUUGUGAUGAAAUACACAAAACAAAAUGUACCAUCUUGACCAUUUUUAAGUGUAUAGUCCAGUGGUGUUAAGUAUAUUGGAAUUCUUGUAUAGCCAGUCUCCAGAAAGUAAAACUGCAAGUGUUUGCAAAAGUGAAAUUCUGUACCCACUAACACUAACUCCCCAUUCUUCCCUCUUCCUGUCCUUGGCAACCACCAUUCUACUUUCUCUUAUACACAUCUGACUCU